CACGUAGGGUGCGAGCGUUGUCCGGAAUUAUUGGGCGUAAAGAGCUCGUAGGCGGUGUGUCGCGUCGGCCGUGAAAACCUGCAGCUUAACUGUGGGCUUGCGGUCGAUACGGGCAUGACUGGAGUUCGGCAGGGGAGACUGGAAUUCCUGGUGUAGCGGUGGAAAUGCGCAGAUAUCAGGAGGAACACCCGGUGGGCGAAG
rnacentral:rRNA from 1 species